CAGGCUUAACACAUGCAAGUCGAGGGGCAGCAUUUCAGUUUGCUUGCAAACUGGAGAUGGCGACCGGCGCACGGGUGAGUAACACGUAUCCAACCUGCCGAUAACUCGGGGAUAGCCUUUCGAAAGAAAGAUUAAUACCCGAUGGCAUAAUUAGACCGCAUGGUCUUAUUAUUAAAGAAUUUCGGUUAUCGAUGGGGAUGCGUUCCAUUAGGCAGUUGGUGAGGUAACGGCUCACCAAACCUUCGAUGGAUAGGGGUUCUGAGAGGAAGGUCCCCCACAUUGGAACUGAGACACGGUCCAAACUCCUACGGGAGGCAGCAGUGAGGAAUAUUGGUCAAUGGACGAGAGUCUGAACCAGCCAAGUAGCGUGAAGGAUGACUGCCCUAUGGGUUGUAAACUUCUUUUAUAUGGGAAUAAAGUUUUCCACGUGUGGAAUUUUGUAUGUACCAUAUGAAUAAGGAUCGGCUAACUCCGUGCCAGCAGCCGCGGUAAUACGGAGGAUCCGAGCGUUAUCCGGAUUUAUUGGGUUUAAAGGGAGCGUAGGUGGACAGUUAAGUCAGUUGUGAAAGUUUGCGGCUCAACCGUAAAAUUGCAGUUGAUACUGGCUGUCUUGAGUACAGUAGAGGUGGGCGGAAUUCGUGGUGUAGCGGUGAAAUGCUUAGAUAUCACGAAGAACUCCGAUUGCGAAGGCAGCUCACUGGACUGCAACUGACACUGAUGCUCGAAAGUGUGGGUAUCAAACAGGAUUAGAUACCCUGGUAGUCCACACAGUAAACGAUGAAUACUCGCUGUUUGCGAUAUACAGUAAGCGGCCAAGCGAAAGCAUUAAGUAUUCCACCUGGGGAGUACGCCGGCAACGGUGAAACUCAAAGGAAUUGACGGGGGCCCGCACAAGCGGAGGAACAUGUGGUUUAAUUCGAUGAUACGCGAGGAACCUUACCCGGGCUUAAAUUGCAUUUGAAUAAUCUGGAAACAGGUUAGCCGCAAGGCAAAUGUGAAGGUGCUGCAUGGUUGUCGUCAGCUCGUGCCGUGAGGUGUCGGCUUAAGUGCCAUAACGAGCGCAACCCUUAUCUUUAGUUACUAACAGGUCAUGCUGAGGACUCUAGAGAGACUGCCGUCGUAAGAUGUGAGGAAGGUGGGGAUGACGUCAAAUCAGCACGGCCCUUACGUCCGGGGCUACACACGUGUUACAAUGGGGGGUACAGAAGGCAGCUACCUGGUGACAGGAUGCUAAUCCCAAAAGCCUCUCUCAGUUCGGAUCGAAGUCUGCAACCCGACUUCGUGAAGCUGGAUUCGCUAGUAAUCGCGCAUCAGCCAUGGCGCGGUGAAUACGUUCCCGGGCCUUGUACACACCGCCCGUCACACCACGAGAGUUGAUUGCACCUGAAGUAGCAGGCCUAACCGCAAGGAAGGAUGCUCCGAGGGUGUGGUUAGCGAUUGG
rnacentral:rRNA from 1 species